AUUGAACGCUGGCGGCAGGCCUAACACAUGCAAGUCGAGCGAGAGGAGGACGGGGGAGAAAUGUCUGGGAAAAUGCCUGAUGGAGGGGGAUAACUACAGGAAACGGUAGCUAAAACAGCAUAAAAGCAAAUGUGCCCAGAUGGGAUGAGCUAGUAGGUGGGGUAAUGGCUCACCUAGGCGACGAUCCAGAUCUGGUCUGAUAGGAUGACCAGCCACGCUGGAACUGAGACACGGUCCAGACUCCUACGUGAGGCAGCAUUGGGGAAUAUUGCACAAUGGGCGCAAGUCUUAUGCAGCCAUGCCGCGUGUGUGAAGAAGGCCUUCGGGUUGUAAAGCACUUUCAGCGGGGAGGCGUUACCCGCAGAAGAAGCACCGGCUAACUCCGUGCCAGCAGCCGCGGUAAUAC
rnacentral:rRNA from 1 species